rnacentral:lncRNA from 1 species
AUGCGCUGUGGACCAGCACCGAGGUGCGCUCUGCCUCAACUUCCUUCCCAGCACGGAGCCGAUUUCCUCCAGCAUCACGUGCACGGUGUGGGGCCAGGACGGGCCGGCACAGCACGGCAGCGCUCGGCCCUGCAGACGGCCCGUGCCGCAGGUAGGAGUGAGCAGCCGAGGGUCCCGCGCACGGGGAUCGUCCCAAGGGCAGCAGCUGCGUGUGGUCACACUGCUCCAGGGCUGUGCUCUCCCUGGGCUCCAGGAGAGCUGCCGGUGGGGCUGGCAGGAUGCUGGGCACUUCUGGGCACCAUCACCCCUGUGCCACCAGAGCAAAGGAGCACUGGGCCUUGGAUGGGGGUGUCCUCAUCCCUGCAGCCCUUGGGGCUUCCGCCGUAUCUUUGGGUGGGUAAUGCCAGCGCCAUUUUUGGUGUCUGCAUGGCCUCUGUGGCAAGGGCUGUGCUGGUGGCAGCAGCAGGGAGCAGGCAGCACCAUGGCUGCUGGCCAACCGUGGGGACAUGGCGACCGAUGGCAGUGAUGGUGUGGCCAGCCAUGGUGACAGGGGGCCCUGCCAUGGGGACAGGGGGCCCUGCCAUGCCCAUGGCCUGGCGUCCUGUACCUCACCGUGCCACCAGGCUUGUCCUGGUGUCACCCCGGGGUUCAGCAGUGCAGGGAUGCUGCUGUGCUGAGGAUGGUGGUGGGAUGACGUCUUGUGCGGCCCGUGCUGCUGCUCAGGAGAACUCUGCAGCUGCCUGGUCCGCCACACGCAGAGGAAGCGCCGACCACAGCAGGGCUGGGAGAGGCUGUGACAAGGAUCCUUCCCCAGCGCCUGACGAGCCCCUUUGCUCCCUGGCAGCCGGAACCAAAGCGCCGACCACAGCGGGGCUGGGAGAGGCUGUGACAAGGAUCCUUCCCCAGCGCCUGACGAGCCCCUUUGCUCCCUGGCAGCCGGAACCACAGCGAAGGACAAGGAGGGCAAGGACGGGGAGCCCCCCCGGUGAGUCCUGGGGGACAGGGAAGGGCAGGGAUGUGCCUGGGACGGGUCCCCUGGGCCAGGGCAUGUCACAGCAGGAAGUGCUUCCUGCCCCACUCUUGGUAGUGCUGAUCUCAGCCCCAGCCCUGUUCCUGCCUCUCCCCAGAGCUCCCAGCACCAGCGAGGAUGGAGCCAACCAAGAUCCCACUCACCAAAAGGGCAGUUCCUGCUCCCCCUAUUCCUGCCAAGACCAAACCAUCCCCUGUACUGGCCACCAAGUAAGAAACAAGGGGCUGUGUUAG